rnacentral:rRNA from 1 species
GAUCCUGGCUUAGGAUGAACGCUAGCGACAGGCUUAACACAUGCAAGUCGAGGGGCAGCAAUAAAAGUAGCAAUACUUGGUGGCGACCGGCGCACGGGUGAGUAACGCGUAUGCAACCUACCUAUCAGAGGGGAAUAACCCGGCGAAAGUCGGACUAAUACCGCAUAAAACAGGGGCACCGCAUGGUGAUAUUUGUUAAAGAAAUUCGCUGAUAGAUGGGCAUGCGUUCCAUUAGGUAGUUGGUGAGGUAACGGCUCACCAAGCCGACGAUGGAUAGGGGAACUGAGAGGUUGGUCCCCCACACUGGUACUGAGACACGGACCAGACUCCUACGGGAGGCAGCAGUGAGGAAUAUUGGUCAAUGGGCGGGAGCCUGAACCAGCCAAGUCGCGUGAAGGAAGAAGGAUCUAUGGUUCGUAAACUUCUUUUGCAGGGGAAUAAAGUGCAGGACGUGUCCUGUUUUGUAUGUACCCUGAGAAUAAGGAUCGGCUAACUCCGUGCCAGCCGCCGC